AUGUGGGGCUCUUGAGGUCCCUGCUGAGAGGACUGGAAAUGCUAAACCCUUCCUCUUGUAUCAAAGUGUAGAAAAGCGCACGUUCGUGGACAGUGAGAACACCGAAUGACCCUCAGCUGCUGAAGCUGGAACUGAAAAAGAGCUGCAUUAUACUGCAGCCUCAGAGCUUCAUACAGCCAACCAUAACCUAGGAUUGAAAUGGAUAUACACGAUUAUGCAGAGGCUUCAUACUCUUUUAUAUAUGUGGAAAUGCAACUCCAUAGUGAGUAGCUGAAAAGGCUGUUGCAGCUAUAGCCUCUGGCAAUGCAACACUAUCCUGAGACAAUCUAUGAUGUUGCCCUGCAGCAGGAGCAUGUCAGCAGCAUUGCUGUCCAGGAAAGAAGGCCAACAUCGCUAAUAUUCAAGGAAGAAUUCAAAUCAUUUUAAGCAUUUUCAAGCUACUUAUAUACAUUGCAUUCUAAUAAGCCAUUAAUCACGUGCAUGGAGGGGAAUCUUUGUGAUUGGAUCUCAUCUCUUCUUUGUGAAGUUGGAGGAGAAAGAGGAGGAAAGGGUCUCCUACAUCUGUGCCAUCAUUCCCAUUGUCUGAAGUUUCCACCAGGAUCACUUUAUAAGUCCAAGACUCCACAGAUGGGGAAGGAUGUCUGUGAGGAGACAGUCACACCAUCUCAGAAGACCACAGAAAUUUCACAAGAGGGGCAAUACAGUCUGAAACUGUGGACCUUUUCAGCAGUUGUCUUUUGCGUGGUGCAGGCUCCCAAUAAAGCAGUGGAAGAAGGCCUUACUGUGGAUUCAGAGGAGCUGCCUCAUCAGAAAGAAAGAGAACGCCACAAAGAGACUUGGUGUUAAUCAAAGGUCCACUGAUAAAUGAGACACAGAAGGUUUAGUGCAUGUCCCAUUUUUCCAUUUCUUACAAAGAAAUAAUAUACUAUAUCUCAUCAAAUGAAAUUUCAAGUGCAAAUAAUAUAAACAACAAAUUGUCUAGAGUGUCAUCUUUAAUGAGACAAAACAGUGUCAUUGAUUAUAAUUUUGAAGCCAACAUGUGUAUGACUCUCUAUGUAUGACUCUCUAUGUGUGCAUGCGUUUGUGAGAGAGGGAGAUAGUAAAUGCCUUUGGUAACCUAGAGUAGAGUAGAGUAACCUUGCUGAAAGGUAUUUCUUGAGCAAGCCACUAGUGGGGAGUCAAUGAGUCAGGAUUCAUCUUAAAGGUUAACACUAACAAAAAUUUGUGGACACCACUCCAUUUCAUGAGAUGCAAUAAUUCAUGAUUAAGUAUUGCUCUCAAAGAAUAGCUGUCCAUAUCUCAGUAAUUUCCAGCAACAGCUUCUCUUAUGACCUCAUCAGAUGAAUGUCAGCUGGUGGUGGUGGCACUCAGGUUCGUAUAUUGCGUGGGGAAUCCAGAGCCCCACGUUCUGCAUCACCUGGAUCCAAGUGAGGGUGAUCACAUGGAAGGGGGGGAGCAUGAGCAUGUGUGUGUGGCUUCCCCCAUAGAUUUUAUGGCAACAUGGGAGCUCUCCUGUGUUGCCCUGCCAGCAGCAUGCACUGGCUCUUUCACCCACAAAGCCAGCAUAGUGUCAUGAUGGGCUGGCUCCGUGGGUGACUGGGCUGAAAUUGGUGCAUGUUGCCAAUUUUAGCCAUUUCUGAUAAGGUUAUUAUUAGUCCUGAAGACCAAUAGUAACUAAUCAAAGGUACUACUGCAUCAGUUACACAGAACCAGAGUAUGUAACAUUCUGAUGACAUCUUUGUCCUUGUUCUUGCACAGUUGAACAAGUAAGCUUAGAUUGAUUUACUCUAACCUGAUUUAACAAUAAAGGAAAAGUUCAUUUCAAUGAAGGAAGUUGUACAAGUUAACACAAAACACGUCAGAUGUAACAGAGAACAUAGCACUGGUAACAGAGUUUCCAUUUAUGUUCACAGUAUAGGCAAGAAAGGUUUAACAGACUCAGCAGUCAUGACUGCCUGUUCAUUAGUAGAGCUCCCUUUGUAAGCCUGGAAAGAUCUGACACAAACUUCAACAUUUAGGGCUUAUUAUUCAAGUACCACUAAAAAGAUAUUGCUAUCCUAGCAGCAAAAAUCAGCAUGAUUCCUCAAUGAAAUUUGUAACCAUACAGAACUUUCCAGUACCAUCUGUUUAUUUAACAACUCAGCAGUUGUUCACCAGACAUCCUAUUCUGACCUUCAAGUGAUGCUUUUAAUCUUGGACAGUAAAAUUAAGCACAAACAUCUGCAUUCCAGGUAAACAAAACACUGAUAAUGGGGAAAACAUGAUUUGGGAGAAGCAUUGAUAUAUAUUGUUGUUGUAUACCUUCAAGACAUUUUUGAUUUAUGGCAGUCCUAAGACAAACCUUGGCAAAACUUGCAUGGAGCAUGUCUUGAAGGUAUACAACUUCCUUUGAACUUGAUAGAAGUGACUUACCAAAGAUUACCCAGUGAAUUUUCAUGGCAGAGAGAAUUCAAACUAGUCUCCAUAACUAUAGUCCAAUGCUCAGACCAUUGUACCACACUGACUUUGGUAUUUACCUUUAUGUAUUUCUUGGGCUUAUUUAGCUGCUUUUAUUCUUGGGUUCAGCUAAAAGAUUAUGUUCAUGCUGACAACCACCAUAAUCAUUGACCGCUAAUCACUCCAUUGGCUGUCUUGUGAUGACAGGAUUCUGGGAACGAUAGUCCAAAAAUAACAUUUCCAAGCUCUGAUUCCUUACAUGAUUAUUGAAUGCCUGAAAAAGGAUCUAUUAUAAGAAACAAUUGAUAAAGUAAGUUGCUUUAAACAUGAGAAUGAUUCUACAGUAUUGAUGAGCACUGUAAUAAGAACCGUUAAACGUACUAGAAUUACUGUUCAAUGUGCUCAUGCAAUGGACAAUGGUGUGAGUAAUUUGACAAUUUCGGUGCUCAGAGGAAUCUAAAAUGUAUUUUUAUAAGUAGGGAAGCAUUGGUAGGGCAAUAGGAGAAGUUUUUCUGUAAGUACUUGCCAAAUUUAAUGAGAUUCUUAGGACAAACAGAGUUUAGGAGGAAAGUCUUGGAAAACUGCCUGUGACUCCAGAGCAGGCCUGUGCAACUUAUGGCCCUAGAGGUGUUUUCGACUUCAGCUCCCAGAAUUCCUAACCAUUGGACAAAUUAGAGUCCCAAACACCUGGAGGUCCACAUAUUGUGCAGGCCUGCUCUAGAGGAAAGUGUGCAGUCAUUUCUUCAUUCUCCUGUGGACAUCUCUACUUCUUUUCUUGUUGCCAUGUUCCAUGCUUGGUAAAGUCAGGGCAGUAGGAAAAAAGGAAGAUUGCAUUCCAGAUGGAAAGACUCAGUCACUCUGAGACUGCAGGGCCUGAGCAGGGCUGUAGAGGAUAGAGUGACUUGAAGGUGUCUGAUUCAUAGUACCGUAAUACUUUUAAGUCAGUUUGAAAGAUAUCAACAAUCACCUUUACCUUUCCAACUAUACUAGCAAAUCAGAAUUGUACAAGAUCUGGGCCCAAGUCCUUAUGCAAUAAACAUGUGAAAAACGUUAUUGGUGCUGUUCAGUUGUCACCAGCACAAUGUUAAGUCUAAAAUUAUUUUACUUAUGCAGUCUUUUCCAGAACAUGUGUCAAACUGGCUAAAGACGCAUCAGAACACCUCAGCUGGCAAAUACUGCAGAAGAACAUUGCAUCUGUUUGCAGUGAAUGAGCCUCCUACUGUGGUCUUAAAUACUUUUAUAUGUAGCAAAUGGCACCAGCAUGAGAAAAAUUAUAAGGCCCAUUUUUGUGGGUAAAUAAUUCAGUCAUACAAAGUUCCACUGAGGAGGAAAGAAAAUAAAUGACCUGUCUGGAUAUGUCAGACAGAAGAGAACUUACCUGAAAAUACUAAGUUGGUAAAAUGAAGUUGUGCGUGUCCCCGUGUGACUAAAAAGGACCUUCUAGACAUACCAUGUCUGUUUCAAGGCUACAUCUUAGCUGUAAGACAUCUUCAAUAGUAACAUCAAAAACACUGAACAGUGAAAGAAAUGCGUUGGCUGCGUCUCUGUGCUACUAAGAGCUAUUGUGUGUGUAUGUGUGCGUGCGUGUGCUAAGCUUUAAGCUUCCGUUCAUAUUUUCUCACACUUCUUUUCCUAUAUAUCAAAACUAUAUUGAGAAAUAGUUUGAAUUAUAUGAAGCUGUUUAUUUUCUGUGAAAUGUUCUUCAUUUAUCUGAAAUCGUUUUAUAAAUUGUUGUGCAUGUUGUUUUAAUUAUACCAGCUCAGUAAAUGCAUCUUCUAAAAUGCACCCCAAUUUUAGUCUUUUGGAUAUCUUAUAAAGAAAAUUGGAAUGCAAUAAAUUUCUGUUAUCAUGUUAAAUGUAUCUUCACAUAUAGGAAUGCUAUUAACCUCAAUAGGGAAGAUUAGGAUGUUUAUCAAAUAACGAAGUAUUUACCAGCUUGUAGGCAACUGGUCUUUGUAAACAUUAUCUGUUUUUACACACAUAUUCCAUAUUUUAAUCUAUUUGACUCUAAACAACAGCUUUGAUCUUAGCAAACUAAAUAAAUUCAUCUGCA